GUAGUCUCGCACAGAUGCAUAUCAAUAAGCGGAGGAAAAGAAACUAACAAGGAUUCCCCUAGUAACGGCGAGUGAAGCGGGAAGAGCUCAAAUUUGAAAUCUUAAAGGGUUUCCCUUUACGAAUUGUAGUUUAAAGAAGUGUUUUCUGUUGAGGUUUUGGUAAAAGUUCUUUGGAAUAGGACAUCAUAGAGGGUGAGAAUCCCGUAUUUGACCUUUACUUUCAACUUUGUGAUACACUUUCAAAGAGUCGGAUUGUUUGGGAAUGCAGUCCAAAAUGGGUGGUAAAUUUCAUCUAAAGCUAAAUAUUGGCGAGAGACCGAUAGCGAACAAGUACCGUGAGGGAAAGAUGAAAAGAACUUUGAAAAGAGAGUUAAACAGUACGUGAAAUUGUCAAAAGGGAAGCGUUUGACACCAGUGUUGUUUUUCUGAAAAUCAAUUAAAGAACUGUUUAUGCUAAGUUGUUUAGACUUUAUCAGCUAACUGUUUAGUUUUGAGCUAUUUCUUUAAUGCACUUUUCAGUUAACAAGUCAACAUCAAUUUCUUUUGCUGUAAAAAAGCUUGAGGAAGGUGGCUUGAGAUUCGUCUUAAGUGUUUAUAGCCUCUUGCCUAUGCAGUCGGAGAGAUUGAGGUCUGCAGCGUAGAUCCUUCGGGGCUAAAUGCAUUUGUGCUAAGUUAUAGCAUUUCAUAGACAACUUGUUGACUAUGAUUUGUCUUGUAGCUUACUCGCUUAUGUUAUUUUACCUACGCUUAGGAUGUUGACAGCAGUAUAGACUGU
rnacentral:rRNA from 1 species